CAGUAGCCACGGUAAUACGAAGGGUGCAAGCGUUAAUCGGAAUUACUGGGCGUAAAGCGUGCGUAGGCGGUUUGUUAAGUCUGCUGUGAAAUCCCCGGGCUCAACCUGGGAAUGGCAGUGGAUACUGGCAAGCUAGAGUGUGUCAGAGGAUGGUGGAAUUCCCGGUGUAGCGGUGAAAUGCGUAGAGAUCGGGAGGAACAUCAGUGGCGAAGGCGGCCAUCUGGGACAACACUGACGCUGAGGCACGAAAGCGUGGGGAGCAAACAGGAUUAGAUACCCCGGUAGUCCCUGUCUCUUAUAA
rnacentral:rRNA from 1 species